UUCGGUGUCCGAGUUGUAAUCUCUAGAAAUGUUUUCCGCGUUGGACCGCACACAAGUCUGUUGGAAUACAGCGGCAUAGUGGUGAGACCCCCGUAUAUGGUGCGGACGCCCAGCGCUUUGUGAUACAUUUUCGAAGAGUCGAGUUGUUUGGGAAUGCAGCUCAAAUUGGGUGGUAAAUUCCAUCUAAAGCUAAAUAUUGGCGAGAGACCGAUAGCGAACAAGUACCGUGAGGGAAAGAUGAAAAGCACUUUGGAAAGAGAGUUAACAGUACGUGAAAUUGUUGGAAGGGAAACGCUUGAAGUCAGACUUGCUUGCCGAGCAAUCGGUUUGCAGGCCAGCAUCAGUUUUCCGGGAUGGAUAAUGGUAGAGAGAAGGUAGCAGUUUCGGCUGUGUUAUAGCUCUCUGCUGGAUACAUCUUGGGGGACUGAGGAACGCAGUGUGCCUUUGGCGGGGGUUUCGACCUCUUCACACUUA
rnacentral:rRNA from 1 species